rnacentral:lncRNA from 1 species
UGACAGAGGAAGAAUCCAAUGAGUAGUUUAUAGGGCACGGCUGGAGAAUAGAUAUGGGAUGCAGAUCCUUUAAAUACUAUGUCUACUUUUUCAAGAGUUGUUGCAUGAUUCUAAUACUAGUGCUAGCUCACAGGGGCGAAGCGGUAGCUCGUAUGACAAGUCGAGGGAAGAGAGGAGAGUGAGAGAAAAGCUUAGAGGGGUUGGUUGAUAGGAAGACGGGAGAACAAUAGUACUUUAGUGCUCUAAUGAUCCCUUUAACCUAGCCAAAGUAUGGUUUCCGAAGUAGCUUAGCUCGCUUAUAAUAGUUCGAUAGGUAGCCUUUGAUCCUUCUCUUUAUAAGUGCGAGGGAGGGCAGAAAGGGUGAGUUUUCUUUUCUUUCUUGGAAUGAGUGGGAAAGAGAGCAUUUUGAAAGCUAUGUGCCUACCGGUCCGGUCCGGUCGAUAAGUAGUUCCACUGCACUAAAUGUACGCUCUACGGAAAUGGAUCAUCUUUUCAUCUUAUGGUCUGAGUUCUUAUUUAUAAUUAAUGAAACUCUUUCCGCUAUUGAUCUAGCCUUAAUGAAACUCUUUCCGCUAUGGAUCUCUUCUCUUGUCGCUACCUACUAGAUAUUGAGUGAGGGUCUCCUCCAUUUAACCGAAAGCUCUUUUUUACCAAAAACGGAUGUCUGCGAUACCUUCGUAGUCUGGUGAGCAUAUGGUUUGUUUAUGAAUACCGUAAGCUAUCUCUUGCAGCACAAGUUUUAGUAGCAGCGGUGGAAAGCUCCCAAAAACAGAAAUUGUAAUGAGAAGAAAGGAAUUGAGGAGCUAACUCUCACUGUAAACUAAAAGAUUGAUUUAUGCAACGCAUGCUAUAUAUCCGAGCCUAGGAAUUGAGCAUAUCCCUUACGCGCAACAGUAACUCUUUUAGCACUUAUUCUUGUUGUGUUGGGUGGGGCUUGGGAAUACUUACUCACUUGUCUUCCUUCAGUCAACCAGUAAUUUGAACUCCUAAUGUGCUUAACUGCACAACAUGGAAUUUCUCUAUGAAUUGGACUUAUGUGCAUGUUAUUAUAUAUCAUAGUCAUUGAGCAGGUAAACAAAUACAACAUAUUCUAUAUCUUGCGCAGCGCCGAGUCAAAGAGGAAUAUGACCCGUCUCUUUCUAUACCCCGGCUGGCUAACGCACUUUUAGAAACUCCUGGGCUGGCUGCACUUUUAG